CUCCUCUCCCUGAAGGCGCAACUGCUGCCUCUCUCACCUAGGUUUUCGAAGAUUGUAGCUGGGAGGAGUGGCGGGGCGUGUGCAGCGCAUGCGCGUACCGGCAUGUUUUAUCCGGAGGUGCCACCCGUGCAGUGGACGGGUAAGGUGAGGGGCCAGCCUGAGGGCGGGACCGUGGUAGCAGAGUUUCGGAACCCAGCCCAACUGGAGACACGCGCAGCCAGUCAUCCUGCAAGUCCUGGCCCCCUUCUGUGAGUUGUGAUCCCAACAUGACUUUCAUAUUCACCAUCUUUGCAAUACUGUCUUGUCCACCUGGGACCUGGGAGGUGGUCUAUGCCAUACACCAAGACUGCCUUAUAGUAAAUGCUCAAGAAAUAUUUGUGGAAUUAAGAAAUAAACUAUUUAUUUGCUUUAAGAAGAAUCUACAUAAUUCUGUAAAUACAAGGUUUGCAAAGACCACAGCAGAGACUGAGUGAUAUCUGAGUGAGAGAGGCAUCUUGCUCCCAGCGUCACCAGAUUGCAGACUCUCUACUCCGGGUGCUCAGAGCCCAUGGUCCAGGGCAUGCAAACUGUGCGGUGCACACAGGAAAUUAGGGACCCGCACCUUGGCUUAAAGCUCUGCUCUUACUUGCUUAAAAUUCUUCAUGAUUCAUAAACAAAAGGACUGAAUUUUAUUUUGCACUGGGCUACAGAAAUUAUGUAGUCUGUCUUUAAACUCAGACUCAGUUGGGAGAGCUCUCCCACGGUGAGCUUAACUAUCGCGCUCUACUGACUAGGUCAAAGAGAAACAUCUUGCUGGACAAAUCGUGUGCUCUCUGAGAAAGAACAAUGUUUGAGACAUUGCUCCCAUCGUGCAAAGCUGAGAAGUUUGCAGUCGAGUCAGCCUGGGUCACCUGGUUUUACUUGAGAUGAGAAAAUGCAAGUCCAGGAAGGACCGAAUGACUUGCGUAAAGCCAUACAGGUAGAAUGUGGCAGAGAUGGAAUUUGAAACCCAACUGAGUGAGCACCCAGAGCCUGCAGCUUUGAUCACCCGAGAUUGUGUGAGGUGCAUGGGAUUGUUUCUAGGGAGUGAGCAAAUUGGAAUUUUAAUAACGUGGGAGAUAAAUUUAGCUUCUUCUUCUUUUUUUUUUUUAGCUGAGCCAUCCUGCCACCUGUUUGCAGCUCAGUGUAAAUUUAGCUUCUUAAACAGAAGGUUUGAGAUUAUAUAUAUAUAAUCACAAAGGAAAGAAAAUAUUCUUAACAAAUUUAGUAUGAUUCAUCCUAAAUGGAGAAGUCACCAAGACAGUGACUAAGCAGGAAAGCAUAUCUUUAUUUUCCAGGUUAUAUAAAAUAAACAGAAAGAAUGCUGGCUUCAAGUUUCUAUGCUGUACAGUGAGGACAGGAGCCUGUCAAUGUCAUUUGCAGCCCUGAAAUUUUGUGGCUUCCAGACCAUUUGCUGCAAAGUGAACAUCUUUGAUUUUCUAAGGCAAAUGCCUGUAAAAUUAGAAAAGUGAACAUUUAGUUUUAACUUAAAUGCUUUAAGUAUAAAUGUGCUUAUUUAAAUAAAUAUACACAUCUGUACUAGACUUACUAGGGUGAUCAUUUUGUAAG